rnacentral:rRNA from 1 species
GUCGAACGCUGGCGGCGUGCCUAAUACAUGCAAGUUGAGCGCUGAAGGUUGGUACUUGUACCAACUGGAUGAGCAGCGCACGGGUGAGUAACGCGUGGGGAAUCUGCCUUUGAGCGGGGGACAACAUUUGGAAACGAAUGCUAAUACCGCAUAAAAACUUUAAACACAAGUUUUAAGUUUGAAAGAUGCAAUUGCAUCACUCAAAGAUGAUCCCGCGUUGUAUUAGCUAGUUGGUGAGGUAAAGGCUCACCAAGGCGAUGAUACAUAGCCGACCUGAGAGGGUGAUCGGCCACAUUGGGACUGAGACACGGCCCAAACUCCUACGGGAGGCAGCAGUAGGGAAUCUUCGGCAAUGGACGAAAGUCUGACCGAGCAACGCCGCGUGAGUGAAGAAGGUUUUCGGAUCGUAAAACUCUGUUGGUAGAGAAGAACGUUGGUGAGAGUGGAAAGCUCAUCAAGUGACGGUAACUACCCAGAAAGGGACGGCUAACUACGUG